UCUUGCCAGCAAUUUCCAAAACCCUUAAUUUCGCCCUCCCUCUUCUGAGCCAUCAAUCUCUCAAUCCAACUUUUUUUCCCUCUCUGAGUCAUCAAUCCCUCAAUCCCACCUCUUUUCCUUCUCUAAGCUAUUAAGGGUUAAAAAUUUCAGAAGAAGAGAAUAAAAAUUUGUUGGGAUUUCUUGUAAUAAUUUUUCAGAAGAAAUAAUAGAAGUCGUGUUUCUGCAACAAGAGGUGGUAUAACGACCGUUUAAAUCUCGUCACUAGUAGCAGUUUGCCUUCAACGACGUGGUUCUCCUCAAUAGCUUAAUGCUGCAUCUUUCAUCAGUGAUUUCAGGUAUUUUCUGGCUGAAAUUGAGGGACCUGAGCAAAAUUCUGAUAAAAGGCUGACAAAGGACUGCUGAUGUUGUUGGAUUCUGACCUCCCUGCACUCAAAAUAGAUUUUCUGGAGCUACCAAACUCAAAAUGGCGCACUCUCAAUGGCGUUAUAAAGGCAGGAAUGAUUUAAAGGAUGGAAAGGAAAUAUACAAAAAUGGAAGGAAAGCACAAAUUGGAGUUUUAGAGCAACCGGCAGUGACGCGUCCGCAUGGACAACACAAACGCGUGGUUUGCACGAAAGAGAAUCGACGCGAGCGCAUGGAUGAGGCAAACGUGUGACUUGCGAAAUACAACUGAUGCGGGCGCAUGAUUGACGCGACCGCGUGGAAGACCGACACUUUAGAUGACGCGACCGCGUGACCCACGCGGACGCGUGACGUGCGCGAUCUGCAGAAUUUGCAGAUCUCGUUUGCAGCUAUUUUUGGGCCCUUUUGGCCCAGACCCAAAUCCAAAUCCAGAAGGCACAGAUCAGAGGUUAUGAAGUGGGGGAAUGCAUCCGUUAAAGGAGUAUCUCCAAUUAGUUACUAUUCAUGAAUUAGAUGUAGUUUGGAGGGAGAGGUUCUCUCCUCUCUCUUCUAGGAUUUAAAAUUAGGAUUUCUUUUGCUUUCAGGAUUAUCUCUUUU